UGUCCCAUAAAUCGAGACUAGUAUGAAUGGCUAAACGAGGUCUUAACUGUCUCUUGCAGGCAAUCGGUGAAAUUGAUCUCCCUGUGCAAAAGCAGGGAUAAACCCAUAAGACGAGAAGACCCUGUGGAACUUCAAAACCAGCGGCCACCCCAAAAUACAUAAACACCCACUGGGCUCACUUAUACACUAAGCCACUGGCCCGCGUUUUUCGGUUGGGGCGACCUUGGAGAAAAACAGAUCCUCCAAAAAUUAGACCACCCCUCUAGACUGAGAGCAACCCCUCAACGUGCUAAUAGCAACCAGACCCAAUAUAAUUGAUCUAUGGACCAAGCUACCCCAGGGAUAACAGCGCAAUCUCCCUCGAGAGUCCGUAUCGACGGGGAGGUUUACGACCUCGAUGUUGGAUCAGGACAUCCUAGUGGUGCAGCCGCUACUAAGGGUUCGUUUGUUCAACGAUUAACAGU
rnacentral:rRNA from 1 species